rnacentral:rRNA from 1 species
UACAGGGGGUGCAAACGUUGCUCGGAAUCAUUGGGCGUAAAGCGCACGUAGGCGGUAUUGCAAGUCGGAUGUGAAAUCCCUCGGCUUAACCAAGGAAGUGCAUCCGAAACUGCUGUACUUGAGUACGAAAGAGGAUCGCGGAAUUCCCGGUGUAGAGGUGAAAUUCGUAGAUAUCGGGAGGAACACCAGUGGCGAAGGCGGAGAUCUGGGUCGAUACUGACGCUGAGGUGCGAAAGCGUGGGGAGCAAACAGG